GAUGAACGCUGGCGGCGUGCCUAAUACAUGCAAGUCGAACGAAGAUCUAGCUUGCUAGAUCUUAGUGGCGAACGGGUGAGUAAUACAUAAAUAAUCUGCCCAUAUGACUGGGAUAACUAUUGGAAACGAUAGCUAAUACCGGAUAGGUUGAUCGGAGGCAUCUCUGAUGAAUUAAAGUAGGAUUUCUACACAAAUGGAUGAGUUUAUGGCGCAUUAGUUAGUUGGUGGGGUAACGGCCUACCAAGACGAUGAUGCGUAGCCGACCUGAGAGGGUGCCCGGCCACACUGGGACUGAGACACGGCCCAGACUCCUACGGGAGGCAGCAGGAGGGAAUUUUGGGCAAUGGGCGCAAGCCUGACCGAGCAACGCCGCGUGAGUGAUUAAGGCCUUCGGGUUGUAAAGCUCUGUUGUAAGGGAAGAACAUUCAGGAUAGGAAAUGAUCUUGAACUGACGGUACCUUACCAGAAAGCCACGGCUAACUACGUGCCAGCCGCCGCCGUAA
rnacentral:rRNA from 1 species